GAGAUAACGCGUGAGUGUAAAAAGAAGAAAAAUGAGAGAAGACCAAUCGGCUCCUCCCUUCAACUCAGCCAACCACCAUCUCCAAUCCUUUGACUUUACAGCCAACAACUCACUUAUUAAAGCACCAGCCUAACACUUCAUUCCUUCUCUCAUACACCAACCACCAGAAAGGGAGAUGAAGAGAAGUUAAUUCCUGCUGCCAACUGCCAAGUAUCGAGAGUUCCUUUCCCAUUGAAUUCAAUAAUAACAGCAGCCACCAACACAAACUCAUGCAAGGUUAAGCGAAAGAGUAAGAGCUAGUCAAUGAGUUACUGAACUGUAGCAAAGCUUCACUAUCAGGUUGAGCAGCUGCCGAUAGUGAUGAAGUGACGAGCAGGACUCUUUUGUCUUAUUAUGUAUUAAUGAACUCUAGGGAUACAUGUCUUCAUACAUGUAAUCAGAACCUUUUUCCGCUGCGUACUCAGAAGUUUUAUGUUAUUUUGGUUAAGUCGGAGUUAUCCGAACUUACUAGUUAUUUGAGUCUAUACGACUAAACCUCCG